UACGUAGGGUGCGAGCGUUAAUCGGAAUUACUGGGCGUAAAGCGUGCGCAGGCGGUAAUGUAAGACAGAUGUGAAAUCCCCGGGCUUAACCUGGGACCUGCAUUUGUGACUGCAUUGCUGGAGUGCGGCAGAUGGGGAUGGAAUUCCGCGUGUAGCAGUGAAAUGCGUAGAUAUGCGGAGGAACACCGAUGGCGAAGGCAAUCCCCUGGGCCUGCACUGACGCUCAUGCACGAAAGCGUGGGGAGCAAACAGG
rnacentral:rRNA from 1 species